AGUGAACGCUGGCGGUAGGCCUAACACAUGCAAGUCGAACGGCAGCACAGUAAGAGCUUGCUCUUACGGGUGGCGAGUGGCGGACGGGUGAGGAAUACAUCGGAAUCUACUUUUUCGUGGGGGAUAACGUAGGGAAACUUACGCUAAUACCGCAUACGACCUACGGGUGAAAGCAGGGGAUCUUCGGACCUUGCGCGAUUGAAUGAGCCGAUGUCGGAUUAGCUAGUUGGCGGGGUAAAGGCCCACCAAGGCGACGAUCCGUAGCUGGUCUGAGAGGAUGAUCAGCCAAAUGGGAAUGGAGACACGGCCCAGCUCCCUACGGGAGGAAGAGGGGGGGAAUUUUGGCAAAGGGGGGCAAGCCUGCUCCAGCCAUACCGGGGGGGGGAAAAAGGCCUUCGGUUUGUAAAGCCCUUUUUUGGGGAAAAAAAAGCAGCAGGUUAAUCCCCCGCUGUUCUGCCGGUCCCAAAAAAAAAAGCACCGGUUAACUUCGU
rnacentral:rRNA from 1 species